UUCUAGAAGCCCAAAUAACAUCUUACCAGACCCGGGAUGUCUGGCUUAUAAUUUAAGACUGAAUAAAUGUUAUAUUUUCAAAUUAAUAUUGUUACAUGCAUUAAUUGCAUUGGAAACAGUUUUCAGUGUAAUAAACUCAUUUUGCUCCUUAUGGGCUUUAGCCAUUUUGAGAUUUCAUUAUAGCAUUCAAUGUACUAAAGAUGUGUUGUUUGAUUAAUUUCUGAAGUGGAAAAAAGAAAAACAUGUAGUUUUACUAUUAUGAAUACAAAGUUUACUUUAUUUUACAAUUUUGUGUUACAAAUCUUGUAGAAAAUAAAUGACAGCAUUAUAAUAUGUGUAAAAUUAAAUAAGCUUUUUUCGGGUUAUCAUUUUUAUAUUUUAUUUAUAAAGUUGCUUCAAUUAGGUGGUUUCUGUACAAAAUAAGUUGGUCACUAAACUAGCUGAAUUUUUGCAAAUCACCAUGCCAACAAGGCACCAAGUUGGCAGAAUGUGGUGUAUUACCACCCUUCAGCUGCCAUAAAUCAAGCUGGUGUCAUAAAAUAGAUGGUCCUCUUUGUUUCUGUAAAGUCAAGUAUUGUUAUCAGUGAUCUACUGUUAUCAAUUGUAUUUGGCACAGACAGUAAUAAAACAAGCAGAUUAUCAGACUGCAGUAAUCAUAACAACUGAAUAUACAACAUACUGCACUAGUAGAUAGAACAGUAUUUAUAAAUAGAAUAGGAAAUAAAUUGCAAAAAAUAUAAAUAACAUUUUAAUUUGAACAACAGCAAAAAAUAUAAAUAACAUUUUUAUUUAGAACAACAAUCUACACUUUUAUUCUUGUCUCUUGUCUUUAUGCUUUCUUUUAAUUUAAACACUGUAUUAUUUUAAUUGGGAUAUUUUUUUUUAUAUAUUGUAUUUAUUUAGUUUGACAAAUUAUAAUUAAAACAGAUACUUGCAUAAAUACUGGCAUCAUUUAAAUACAUUUCUUCAAAACUUGAUUUUUUUAUUAAUUAAAAAACAAAUCCUCAUGAAAUGAGCUAUAAUGCUGCGCAUGGACACAGUUUUAAAAUACAGUUAAAAUGAAAAAAACAACAACCAUUUUUAAUGAAAUAGUCAUGGAAAAUUGCUUACCGGUAUAAAGCUUUAAUUAAAGAUACUAAUACUAUAUUGCAAAAAUAAAUGUAGAUCAUGAAAUGAAUAGUUUUGUUUGAGAAAAUCACCAAAAUGAUGUCCAUUCCCUGUUUGAUGUCUUAUUCUCAAUUCACAUUAUACAGUGUUUUUAGAACACAUCAUGACUUGCAGUUGACCCCUAUUGAUUUUGAGGUCACUAGGUCAAAGGUCAAGGUGACCCCAAAUAGUAAAAUGGUUUCCGGAUGAUAACUCAAGAACGCAUACGCCUAGGAUCAUGAAACUUAAUGGGUAGAUUGAUAACGACUCGCAGAUGACCCCUAUUGAUUUUGAGGUCACUAGGUCAAAGGUCAAGGUUAUGGUGACCUGAAAUAGUAAAAUGGUUUUCGGAUGAUAACUCAAGGACGCAUAUGCCUAGGAUCAUGAAACUUCAUAGGUAGAUUGAUCAUGACUCGCAGAUGACCCCUAUUGAUUUUGAGGUCACAAGGUCAAAGGUCAAGGUCACGGUGACCCGAAAUAGUUCAAUGAUUUUCGGAUGAUAACUCAAGAACGCUUUUGCCUAGGAUCAUGACACUUUAUAGGUGCAUUGAUCGUGACUCGCAGAUGACCCCUAUUGAUUUUCAGGUCACUAGGUCAAAGGUCAAGGUCACAGUGACAAAAAACGUAUUCACACAAUGGCUGCCACUACAACGGACAGCCCAUAUGGGGGGCAUGCAUGUUUUACAAACAACCCUUGUUUCAUAUACAUUUAUCGGAUUAUAUAUUUAACAUCCGAUUAAUGUAAAUGAAAUGAUUAUGAAAUUUUGUUCAAUGACAUGUGUUGCCAUGAAAGUUGGACUAUUACUUGUCUUUAGGCUCGAAGGCGCACAAGGAAUUACUGUUGGUCAUCGGAAGCAAGCGUCUUCUCUCUGACAUUCGCAUGCUGUCACCAGCUGAACAGACCUCGAUGCUGGAGGCUCAACACAAGGUGGUCUGCCAAUUUGCGCCAAAAUUUGUCUGCUUUUCAUACGCAGCAAUGAAACAGAGAUUGCAUCUGGCAGCCCUGCAUUCCGUUUCUAAUGCGCACAGGAAACAUGCAUAGACGAAGAACGGCCAAAAGCGCUACAGGAUUUCGUAUCCAAAGUACAAGGCGGGACACCAUGUCGUGAAACCUGUCAAAGAGGCCUGCAAUUAUGAUUAUGUCACAGAGCUCAUGGUUGAAUUGCUGCAAUUAAAACAACAGUUCAAGAGCACCCGGAUUGCUAAGCAGGCAUCUUCUUCCAUUCUGUUCUCUCCAACACCAUUAGCAUCAUAUGCGAAGAAAAUUUUAAAAAAUGAAGCAGUGCAGUUGCACCGCUCUAGGUUUAAUUAAUUACAGUAAUUGGAAACAACUUGGCAUGCCAUUUGUCAUGUGUUGCUCCAGCUGGGUUUAGUGUACGUGCGUAAGGUGUCAUCCCAGAUUAGCCUGUGCCAUAUAUGUUUGUAAUUAAUUUAAAAAAUCCUCGCGCUGGAAAGAUGGGACAAAGCGUGCGCAAAAUAUCUCGUCCCAUAUUAGCCUGUGUCCCUGAUAAGACUGUGCAGACUGGACGUGAACACAUGAUAUGCCCCAAGUUUUAUAUGACAAUGUCUACGAAUGUGCCCUUUUGACAAAUUAGAACCUAGCUGAAGCACUGAUCACGUAUUGUUUCAAAUUAACAUAGCAACUACAAUUAUUUUUUUGAAAAAUGUGAAUGUAUUAUUUUGACAAAUAUGCUGUAAUAAUAGUUUUCCCAUUGUGUGCUAUACUGUUAGUAUAAAAAUGUUAAUGUCAACACCUUUAUUUUUAAAUGUUGGGACCAUGUAGUGUUUUUUGUGUGAUAGUAUUGGUCUGUAAAAGAUGUUUUAAAAGUCAUUUUGUUAAAGGUACUUAAUUUGACUCCAUGACAAGUUGUAUUGCAACAUUGUGCUAGUAAAGCUCAUUUACUUAUUCCGUCCAGUUUUCUAAAACUUGUCGUCAGGUUACAAGUUGUUCUGUUGUUGUGUCUGUGGUAAUUUAUAUUUUUAGAUGUUGCAAUAAACUUGUAUGCUACAUA